rnacentral:sRNA from 1 species
UGCUUGCUCGAGCUGUUCGUGGGUUACUUUCUGCCUUAGUUAAACCAAAAGGGAAAGGCGGAAGAGGGGAAGCCCUGAAGAAUGAUUUAGUGGUUGCCCAGCCUCCUCUCCAAGGAGAGGUGUUCGCUGAGCGGCUCUCCCCGUCCCCGACACUGGCCCCUUUAAGAAGCCAAGAAAAAGGAAAUGAAACCAGAGACAGAGGGAAGCUGAGCGAAAAUAGACCUUCCCGAGAGAGGAGGAAGCCCGGAGUGAGACGCACGGUCCCCUCCCCGCCCCUAGGCCGCCGCCCCCUCUCUGCCCUCGGCGGCGAGCAGCGCGCCGCGACCCGGGCCGAAGGUGCGAGGGACUCAGGGCGGCCGGGCGGGCGCGCACCAUCCCCGCGGGCGGCGCGGAGCCGGCGACAGCGCGCGAGAGGGACCGGGCGGCGGCGGCGGCGGCGGCGGCGGCGGCGGCGGGACCGGGAUGGAAGGUUAAGUCCUGAGCAGCAGCAGCAGCAGCUGCAGCCGCCCGGAGCCAGGCUGCGCGCCCCGGCCCCCGCCUCGGCCGCGGCGCGCCCGCAGCCCGGUGAUUCGCUCUCUCUCUUUGGCGUUUGAAGGGAGCGCGGUGACUGCCCUUGAGCGCGGAGGGGCGAGCUCGCCGCCGGAGCGCCGGAGCAAGCGGAGGCGCAGGAGCGACGGCGACGGCGGCGGCGGCGGCGCCCGAGCACCCGAGGGGGUCCGAGCCCCGGCAGCCGGCCAGCCCCGCGCCACAAAGGGAGCGCCCCCGCCGCCCGGCACCCCGCCUCCCUCCCCAAUGUCCUCGGCCAUCGAAAGGAAGAGCCUGGACCCUUCAGAGGAACCAGUGGAUGAGGUGCUGCAGAUCCCCCCAUCCCUGCUGACAUGUGGCGG